rnacentral:rRNA from 1 species
GAUGAACGCUGGCGGCGUGCCUAAUACAUGCAAGUCGAGCGAACGGACGAGAAGCUUGCUUCUCUGAUGUUAGCGGCGGACGGGUGAGUAACACGUGGAUAACCUACCUAUAAGACUGGGAUAACUUCGGGAAACCGGAGCAAAUACCGGAUAAUAUUUUGAACCGCAUGGUUCAAAAGUGAAAGACGGUCUUGCUGUCACUUAUAGAUGGAUCCGCGCUGCAUUAGCUAGUUGGUAAGGUAACGGCUUACCAAGGCAACGAUGCAUAGCCGACCUGAGAGGGUGAUCCGCCACACUGGAACCUGGAACCGGGCCCGACCCCUACGGGAGGCAGCAGUAGGGAAUCUUCCGCAAUGGGCGAAAGCCUGACGGAGCAACGCCGCGUGAGUGAUGAAGGUCUUCGGAUCGUAAAACUCUGUUAUUAGGGAAGAACAUAUGUGUAAGUAACUGUGCACAUCUUGACGGUACCUAAUCAGAAAGCCACGGCUAACUACGUG